UUUGACUUAUCUGUCACUGAAUUGUGUUAGUAAUGGUUACUUUGAGAUCUGUCAUGGAGGAUCCUGGGAAACUGAAAUGUUCUGAGAUUAAUAUAUUCUAACACAUGGAUUCUCCAACUAUGGACCAAGACAUCCCAUGGAGAUUUUAGAAGGAUUUAGAAGGAUUUCCCGCACAAGCAAGAGUAUUAACUUGCACAAAGUUCUGUUUCUCUGGAAUUGCCUCAAUAAAGAACAAAUAUUGAUCCAAAAUAAACACAGAACAAGAAAUGAGAGUAUCUGUCUCAAAAAUAAAAUCAAGAAUUUUGCCAAAAUCAUUAAUAAAAAUGUAGAGGCGCACAAACUGAACAUUGAACUGAACCCUUGUCUCCAUAUUGAUGAAGAUUCCUGAGCUCUUUUUAAGCCUCACAUUUCAGACAGUUACAGUAUCUAUCUCUAUCUUUCAUCUUGAAAAUUGUCUGCCUUUUAUUUCUGUUUCAGACUAUUGUCCAUCCAGUGAAGUAGAAUGGAAAUAUGCCUUCCUUGAUCAAAUUUACUCUCUGCCUCUCAGUAUCUGGUCUAUGAAAUAUCUCAAAUAUUUCAGUUUGUGUCAUAAAAGGGCUGGCAUUCGUUUCAGCAUUGAUAGCUGAAUUAUAUUUCUGUAGCAUUUUAUUCUUGUAUUUUUCUGGCUCCUAUAAAAUAAUGUGGCACAUUUUGGCAUACAAUUUUGCUUUACAGGUGGUCCUCGACUUACAGCCACAAUUGAGCCUAAAAUUUCUGUUAUUAAGUGAGACAUUUGUUAAGUAAGUUUUGCCCCAUUUUAAGUUGGUUAAAUUGUUAAGUGAAUCACUGCAGUUGAUAAGUAGUAAGCCAGUUGUUAAGUGAAUCUGGUUUCCCAAUUGACUUUGCUUAUGAGAAGGUUGCAAAAGAGGAUCACUUGACCUUGGGAAACAGCAAUGGUCAUAAAUAUGAACUACUUGCUAAGCAUCUGAAUUUUGAUGACAUGAACAUGGGGAUGCUGCAGUGGUUGUAAGUGUGAAAAAUGGUCAUAAGUCACUUUUUUCAGUGCUGUUGUAACUUUCAACGGUCAGUAAAUGAACUGUUGUAAGUCGUGGACUACCUGUACUUUGAAUCUGAAAGAAAAAUGUCCUCUACAAAAUCAAUUCAAUGUAGCCAAUGCUAUAACAUUGGUAAUUUGGCUCUUUUUUUGUGUGUGUUGGUAGAUGUACAUAGGCAUUUUUGGCUCCUAGUGCAAUUAUAAAAGACCAUAUUUUCUUAUGAUUCUUGUAAAUUAGCCAUAUGCAUUGAUGGGUGGGAGUGAGCAAAAGAUUAAAUAUGUGUGGUGCAAACAUGCAGUGUAAACAUGUAAAUUAAAUAUUUGUGUCCAACACUGGGGUGCAAGUAGAAAAAGCUAGGAUGAUGAUGUCAUUUUCUCAUUUUUUCAUCACCACCAGUCAUAUUGUUAUUACCAAUAUAUAGAAAGAAGAAUGGGUGAAAAGACAAAAAUGGCAUAAACACUUUGGAUCGUUUUUGAGAAUCAUCAGACUGCUAGAUUAGUUGCAAAAUGCAAAAUUGCAGCAAGAUAUUUAUAGAGCAGAUGUGGGGGACAGGAUGAAUAAAUCAGCUCUCUGAUGAAUAUUAUGGGAACUACAUCACAUGUAUUUGUAGAAUCCAAUUCCACAUCCAUAGUAGGUUCAUAUAGAGAUCCCUACUGCUUCCAAUAUUUGUAAAACAUGCAGUUUUCAUAAAACUCUUGAGCCUGCAUGGAUGAGGAUUUAUGUAUAUUCUCCCUCUCCCUCUCCUUCUCCCUCCCUCUCCCUCCCUCCCUCUCUCUCUCUCUCUUAUAGUGCAUAUACUUUAUCAACACCAAAGCCUUUAAACAUAGUUUACACAUUUGACAAAUAGUUUAUAGGAGGCGAGACAGAGAUAUCUACUGUAAAAUAUAAUGAACCAAUCAACUCAGCUAUAUUUCACUCAUUUUUUUAAAAAAAAAAGUUAAUGCUUUUUAAAAUGUAUGGUUGGGACUUAAAUAACAAAUGCUCUAACUACAGGUGGUCUUCACUAAUGACCACUUACUCAGCAAUCUUAUGAUGCUGCUGAAUGAGUGGCACUUAUGACAGUCACAGUGUCCAGCGGCUGUAUGAUUGCCAUUGCAACCUUCUUUGCUGGCUUCCUACAAGCAAAGUCAAUGGAAAAGACAGUAGGAGGCUGCAAAUGGUGAUCAUAUGACAUCCUUGCUUAAUGACCCACAUGAGUUGCUUAACUAAAGCAACUGGUAGUGCCAGAUUUUCCAUUGCUAAUCAGAGUACUAUGUGAUGUCCCACUUUAGGACCUGUUGCUUAGCAAUGGAAAUUUCAGUCCCAAUCACCAUAAUUAAGUGAGGACUACCUGUGUACAAAUUCAGAGCAUAAUUGUUGACUAUUUGAUAUAUAACAUUUAUAUCAAUGUGCAAAUUUUGAACUUCCACAGCCUACUUCAUUUUUAUUUAUAUCAUUAAAGGAACCUAAAUAGAAAACAUCUUUUUUUUUUUUUGAAAAUAUGAUACAUGUAUUGCAACAAUUGAUUAGUACUACAAACAGAGAAAAUGCAUUGACCAGGGAAAACUGGCUAUUAAGAAAAUGAAGAACUGAGAAACUCAAAAUGUAAGCUAGCAAGUGAAUGAAAAACUGAAUUGUGUGGAUCAGUGAUUAAAAGUUUAUAUUUUUCUUUGUAUAUUUUUUCCUGUUCCUAAAACUACGUUUGACAAUAAUGGGAAGCUAAAUAUAAAAUUCAGACUGCAAAAUAAACAUGGUUAGUUUCUCUCUACCUUUAACAAAAUCAACAACUCUAUGGGACAAAACUUUUUGUAAAGGAUCUGAAAUAUUGUAUGUAAUUUUAUUUAUUAUGAUAUCAGAUUUGUAGAAUGAAGCAAAUAUUUGAAAGGGUUUUUCUUAAAGUUGUUUAAAAUUCUGUCUGACUAAAACUGCAAUAAAGUGAUGCAUACUAUAAUAUUCUAA